UUGGCGGCGCCGGGAGAAGGAGGUGGUCUCCGGGGUUGUUGCUAGGUAGAGUAAGAUGGCGGCUUUGGACAGGGUCAAGGUGCUGGUGUUGGGCGACUCCGGUGUCGGAAAGUCUUCGCUUGUUCACCUCCUGUGCCAAAACCAGGUGUUGGGAAACCCGUCCUGGACAGUGGGCUGCUCCGUGGAUGUUCGAAUCCAUGACUACAAAGAAGGGACUCCAGAAGAGAAGACCUACUACAUUGAACUGUGGGAUGUUGGAGGUUCAGUGGGUAGUGCCACUAGUGUGAAAAGCACACGAGCGGUAUUUUAUAACUUGCUGAAUGGGAUAAUUUUAGUGCAUGACUUAACCAACAAGAAAUCGUCCCAGAAUUUGUAUCGCUGGUCUUUGGAAGCACUCAACAGAGAUGUCGCUCCAACAGGAGUUCUUGUGACAAAUGGUGACUAUGACCGUGAACAGUUUGCUGAUAACCAGAUUCCACUGCUGGUAAUAGGAACUAAGCUGGAUCAGAUCCCAGAAGCUAAGCGGAAUGAAGUUUUGACCAGAACAGCUUUCUUGGCUGAGGAUUUCAAUGCUGAAGAGAUAAAUUUGGAUUGCACCAAUCCUCGUUACCUGGCUGCAGGUUCAUCCAAUGCUGUCAAACUAAGCAGGUUUUUUGAUAAGGUCAUAGAGAAGAGAUACUUCUUAAGAGAUGGCAAUCAGAUUCCUGGCUUCUCUGAAAGGAAAAGGUUUGGAGGAGGAACACUGAAGAGCCUUCAUUAUGAUUGAACACUGACAAAGUGGAAGAUGACUCCUCUGAGUUCCUAAUGACAUUCCCAUUCUGACUGGAUGCUUAAAGACAACAAUGCUUACAUCAAGCAGAGUAAAAUGAUAUUACAGCCAGCUUGUUCUGCUGUGGCUUACGUGGGCUUGACGGGCUGUCCUACCCUUGAUGAAUAAAAGGUCAGAUCACAAAAUUCAGUGAUAGUCCAAAAUUAGCACCCUCUUUAGCUGUUGUACCAGAGUGGGGAAGGGCAGAACAGGGCAAGGUGACUAAAUUUUGUCCUGACUCCUAGGAGUGGUUCUUCUAGCCUGAAGGCAGAAGCCUCACAGCAAGGUGAGCAGGUGGCUUCUCCAGCCUCUAUUCAUGCAGCAUCUGUUUUUUGGCAACAAGGAGUGUGUGCACUCCGCUGAAGAUAACUUUUUAUGAUCUUUCCUGCACAAAUAAAUGAUAAUAAUUAACCUGUCUGGCAUCUGCUGCUGAAUGGUCCCAGAAAAAUGACAAGGACAUAUUUCAUAAGAGCCACUCUACAAAAAAGUACAUGUUAUUAAAAAGAGCCUUUUUUGCCGCAAAGCUGUUGGCAGUGAUAAAAAAGUAUAAAAAUUAUUGCUUUAUUUUCUCAUAUUAUGAUAAAAGGUUCAAAAAAGAGAUUAAAUCCCCUGGUACUAAGUAGUACACUAGCAGAUAAACAGACGGCUGCUCUAGAGAGCUCCUGGCCCAUUUGGCAGUGCAUAAAGGGUUAACAAACAGAAAAGGCAUGCAAUUUGGGGAAGCUGAGAUCACAGAGACAGGAGUGAAUGAAUACAUUAAUAAAUAUGUACAUCAAUGAAUGCAUUUUAGCUGGACAAAGAUAGGCAGGAGGAGAGAUUGGUCCUUUUAGAAAUGAGAUACAUCACUGUGAAAAGCAACAGUCCAUUGCAAUGGCACGUCCACAGCCGCAUCAGAAAGGAUCUGUCUCUCUUGGUUGCCUCUUACAUAUGCUGCGUGCGGGACAGAAGAGCUUUACUUUUGGGACUGGACAACCACUCGCUACAAGAAGUUAUGGUAAGCCGUGAUCCAGUGAUUGUACUCAUUGCAGCAGCACUGCGAUGGACAAGCUAUGGUCCAUUCUGGGAAGCGCUGUGCUAAGCAUUGAGUAGGAAUUUAUGAAGGUGUCAGCCCUGCUCUGGAAAGUGUAUACCCUAAUACACAAAUAUUAACGUAAAGGGAUAGGGAAGAAUAUACAGCCUUGCCGCUGCCACAUGGCAUGAAAUAUACAUUGCGUAGGAAAAUGCUAACGGAGAGCAUGGGGAAGCGAAGGGACUACUGUCCUGUGUCUCUCCCUUCCUUUUGUCCCAGGGACCCAGGUCAUUCACCCACCCAGUGCCCCACUGCCUGAACUUGCAAGUGAUUUUAGGAGGAAACAAAAGGACUUUUAAUGCAUGUGCUAUGAAUUUGAAUUAUUUGUCUAUUGGAUCAAAUAUAAGCUGCCUCAUCUUCUAUUUGAAAGGCUUUUUCCAUUCUCCUCCUCAUCUUUCAUUCACCACUCA